rnacentral:tRNA from 1 species
GUGGGUAUAGCUCAGUGGUACAGCACAUGCUUAGUAUGCACGAGGUCUUAGGUUCAAUCCCCAGUACCUCCU